rnacentral:rRNA from 1 species
GGUGAACGCUGGCGGCGUGCUUAAGACAUGCAAGUCGAACGCAGUCUUCGGACUGAGUGGCGCACGGGUAAGUAACACGUAACUGACCUACCCCCAAGUCGCGAAUAACCAGCCGAAAGGAUGGCUAAUACGUGAUGUGAUGAUCCGCUGUGGCGGAUCAUUAAAGACUUGAUCGCUUGGGGAUGGGGUUGCGUUCCAUCAGCUAGUUGGUAAGGUAAAGGCUUACCAAGGCAACGACGGAUAGCCGGCCUGAGAGGGUGGCCGGCCACAGGGGCACUGAGACACGGGUCCCACUCCUACGGGAGGCAGCAGUUAGGAAUCUUCCACAAUGGGCGCAAGCCUGAUGGAGCGACGCCGCGUGAGGGAUGAAGGUUCUCGGAUCGUAAACCUCUGAACCAACGACGAAAGACCCGACAAGGGAGAUGACGGUAGUUGGGUGAUAGCACCGGCUAACUCCGUGCCAGCCGCCGCAGUAAAAC